AAAGUCAGCGGAGACCAGGACAACUAGCAGGACAAUGAUCCCAAAUAUACUUCAAAAAGCACCCAGAAAUGGAUGGCAACAAAGCGCUGGAGAGUUCCGAAGUGGCCAGCAAUGAGUCCAGAUCUAAAUCCCAUUGAACACAUGUGGAGAAAUCUUAAUUGCUGUUGGGAAAAGGUGCCCUUCCAAUAUGAUAGACCUGGAGCAGUUUGCAAAGGAAGAGUGGUCCAAAAUUCCAGAAUUGCACAGGGUUUACAUCUACGUCAAGUAGAUAUGCUUCAAGAUGGCACUGCGAAGAGAACAGCAAUGCUUUUCAUGAUGUCAAAGAAACUCAGAAGUGUUAGUGUAAAAAGCCUGAAGACGCACCGAAAGAAAAAGAGGCAGAGAGUUGGCGGUCUUAAGCAUGCAGAACAAUGUGACGACACGUUUGAGCUGCAUUCGGUCUAAAUGAGGCUGACGGAGACACUGAAGAGGGACUUCAGGAGCCUGAUCAAGACGGUUUGCAGCAUGACGCCCGAGGCGACGAUCAUCGUGUCAGGACCACUGCCCACGUAUCGACAAGGACACGAAAGGUUCAGUAGACUUUUUGCUCUAAAUGAAUGGUUACUGUCAUGAUGUAAAGAACAGAAACUGCUCUUUGUUAAUAAUUGGAAUCUUUUCUGGAAGUGUCCUAGGAUCUUUCGUGCUGAUGGCCUGCACCCCAGCAGAGUCGGAGCGGAUCUCCUCUCGGACAACAUCUCCAGGACUCUACACUCCAUUUGACUAGAUUUACACAAGCUCCAGUCUGGAUCCAGAACACCUGAGAAGAGAUGAUGCCAACCCCUCAGAGGACCUAAGAUGAUGCUAACCCAGAGACAACAUACAGAACUACCACAUUUUGCUAUAAGUUUGAUUGCAUAAUUGCUGUUAAUAGUGUUAAUCGUCUGUUCGUUUACAUCUUUUAUUGAUUUUUCUAAACAUUCUGUUAUGUGUUCAUUUAAACACAUAAACUGACAGUCACCACUGAUAAGCUACUCCUAAAUAUUGUAGAAACUUAAUUUUUUGUAAAGUUAAAAAGCGCUAUACAAAUAAACUUGAACAACAUUGCC
ensembl:lncRNA